GAAAGAUUUCCUAUUGUAGGGGGAAGGUUUGAGAACUGACAUUUUGGAAUUCUUUAAGAAAGCAAAACUGCUUCCUUCUGGGGGGAAGAUAAUAGGCUCUUCAUCUAGCAUUAAGAUAAUCAAGAGCUGAACAUAGUAUCUGUCUUCUUUCCUAGGCAUACCUCAGGAUUAGGUCAGAGCAAAAAAAGUCAUGUGUUUGUUUAGGGUUGCAAAGCCACCUGAAAUGAUUCUGGGAACCACAAGGAUGACUUAGCAGUGGCCUGUAUGGACUGACCACCAGGGACCAGGUGGAAUCAAAGGCAUAUUUUCAUUGAACAUCUAGAAAGUUAAAGGGAAAAUCUCAGCAGAAACCAGAAUGGUGUUGCCUCCUCUCACAUCUUCAUCUUCUAUCCCACCUCCCACGGAAGAAAGGAGACACAAGCACUCACGGACUCUGACCAACAGUGCUCUGCCACCUUCAACACAGAAGUAUCUCAAAGAUUUCCCAAGACAUUGGAGGAGAAGCACACAAUUUCACUUUGAUAUGGGACACCCAACUUAUGCGUUAUCUUCCACUUGACUCAGAAAAUCAUUUGAAAUGAGCUAUGGCUCCAGUCUGGCAUGUCCAGAGACAAGGAUGAGGUCAUGCUCAUCCCACAGCAUGCUCUGUUCUAACUAAUCAGACCCUUCCUGACCUACACACACACCUCAGCCCCAGUGUAAUGAGAAGGAAAUAUGCUUGUGUUUUUUUCUGGUUAUGAUAUGACAUCCAAACUGUUAUGUUCCAAUUUCUAAAUUCAAUUAAAAAAAAAAACUACCUUAUCACUGGAGAGUGAAUUAUCCUCCAAUCUGAUAUGAGGAGAAGGGAAUCCACCAUCUCUAACCUGUAGUCAAAUCUUAAGUGAUGAAAAGAGAGGACAUCUGGUAUUUUAAAAAAUAUUUUAUUUAUUUAUUCAUGAUAGACACAUAGAGGCAGAGACAUAGGCAGAAGGAGAAGCAAGCUCCUUUUGGGGACCCUGAUGGGGGUUCUGGAUCCAAUUCCAGAACCUGGGGAUCAUGAUCUGAGCCAGAGGCAGAUACUCAACCACUGAGCCAGGUACCCAACACAAGGUAUUUUUAAAAUGCAUUUCUAGCCAUUUCUCCUUUGAUUGUAUAAUAACACUGUCCUAUGGAUACAGGAAGCUGAGCUGCCUCCAAUUCUCCAGUAAGGCCAUAUGUAGAGAGUUACGCAGAAGCAGAGCUGCUGCUUCUUCAGGGGCCAUGUCCCAUUCAAGGCUAUGGUCAUCCACCAGCCCUGUAAAAGCAUCCAGUCAUGAAAUCAUCAUGCUUUUACCUGACAGGUGAAGUCUCCAUAAAUCUUAUAAGCCAUGCUGGCCACUCCAGUGUCAAGAAGUAGGCUGAAUUUCUUUCAUAGCCUCCAACUCCUCCAACUCUUUGCUCCUAAUUCCAAAGUGUUCUGAUGGAGGAAAAAAUGCACUUACAUCCAAGAAAACAGAGGAUACAGAGAAUGAAACAAACAUCUGAUACAAUGAGGUUGCCUUUCUGCAAAAAAAACUGACCUCUACCCAAGUCUAGCAAAAUCUAUGCCCAAAUUCUCAGCAGUAAGUAAAAAUAAUCUCUAUUCUACAGAAGAGGAAACUGAGGCUCAGAGUCAUGAAGUGUCUUUCCCAAGGCCACACAGCAGCUAAUAAACACAGAGCCACGUUUAGUGCA
rnacentral:lncRNA from 12 species